UCAUAUUCUUUUUUUAAUCCCAUAACCUUCGGCGAAAAUUGACCCGUUCUUCCUCUUCUAUUUUCUUAACCGCAUAGUUGCAAUGCCGGCAACAACUGUUCCCCUGUCAGGCAUCGACCAAGAUCGGACCUCCAUCCCUACCCGGUGAUGAAGACAAACGGCUUCCCUAUCGAUCUGAGUUUUAUGUAGUUAGUACAUAUGCAUUGAUCCCAUGAUCAAGAAUUUUGAUUUCUACAUCUGAAUCUAGCCCAUGAACAAGGAUUUUGAUUUAUUUCUCCGGCGUCUUUUUAUCAACGAAUAUGAAAUGCUAUUAUAAACAAAAUGCAAAUUGUACACAGAGAAGAGGAUCCAAAACUUGAUGAACUUACCUAGAGAAUGUACACAGGGGAGCAAAAGCGACCUCCCACCCAAAAACUGUUCAUCAAGACCAAAGCUCAUCUGACACCUACCCCAACAGCACUUCAAACACAGAGAGCAAGCACCCAAAGCCUUAUCCCAGAACAGAGCAUCCACCCAAGAGAAGAAACAAAAUUGUCACAGAAAUCAAAAAAUAAGUAAAUCCAAACCCACUGCAUACCGCAACUGGAAAAAACGUCACUAAUCCGGAGCGAGUGAAGACCAAAGAACACCCAACCACUCCACACAAGCCUGCUGCGACACCGAACACUCUGCGACACCGAACACUCUGCCACCACCCAACUCAUGACAGCAACAACAAAACGGUAAGCAAGACUAUAAGGCGAGAGCGAGAAGUCUUCUAUUUAUUAAGCGACCAUGUUGUGUUUUGGGCUAAAAUUAAGUAUUGGCCCAACAUGUUUUAAUAUUUUAAUUGACUGGCUAAUGAAUAAAUGCCAUGUGGCAUGUGUAUCCAAAGUCUCUGUCAUAUUUUCUAAUAUGCAUAUUACAUAAAGAAAUCAUUUUUAUGUAAUCCUAACACACAUGUAAUCUUAAUCAUAAUAAGUAAUUAAUCAUCAUUAUAAAAUGGAACUCACCAAUCAUAUUAGAUGUAUUAUGAGAUCGUGAGUAUCAUGGUUUUUGUAACUUGUUAUAUACUAAUUAUCAUAUUCGUGAAAGUUAAUUACAUGAC
rnacentral:lncRNA from 1 species